CUUAGUACCCGGAGGAAGAGAAAGAAAAUUCGAUUCCCUUAGUAGCGGCGAGCGAAACGGGAAGAGCCCAAACCAACAAGCUUGCUUGUUGGGGUUGUAGGACACUCUAUACGGAGUUACAAAGGACGACAUUAGACGAAUCAUCUGGAAAGAUGAAUCAAAGAAGGUAAUAAUCCUGUAGUCGAAAAUGUUGUCUCUCUUGAGUGGAUCCUGAGUACGACGGAGCACGUGAAAUUCCGUCGGAAUCUGGGAGGACCAUCUCCUAAGGCUAAAUACUCUCUAGUGACCGAUAGUGAACCAGUACCGUGAGGGAAAGGUGAAAAGCACCCCGGAAGGGGAGUGAAAUAGAACCUGAAACCGUGUGCUUACAAGUAGUCAGAGCCCGUUAAUGGGUGAUGGCGUGCCUUUUGUAGAAUGAACCGGCGAGUUACGAUUUGAUGCAAGGUUAAGCAGUAAAUGUGGAGCCGUAGCGAAAGCGAGUCUGAAUAGGGCGUUUAGUAUUUGGU
rnacentral:rRNA from 1 species